UACAGAGGGUGCGAGCGUUGUUCGGAAUUACUGGGCGUAAAGGGCGCGUAGGCGGCCCUCUUAGUCGCGUGUGAAAGCCCCGGGCUCAACCUGGGAACGGCGCGCGAAACGGGAGGGCUGGAGUGCGGCAGAGGGGGAUGGAAUUCCGCGUGUAGCAGUGAAAUGCGUAGAUAUGCGGAGGAACACCGAUGGCGAAGGCAAUCCCCUGGGCCUGCACUGACGCUCAUGCACGAAAGCGUGGGGAGCAAACAGG
rnacentral:rRNA from 1 species